rnacentral:rRNA from 1 species
GACGAACCGUGCGGACGUUAUUCGGAAUCACUGGGCUUAAAAGCGCGUGUAGGCGGGGUGGCACGUCCGUCGCUGAAAUCCCCCGGCUCAACCGGGGAACGGGCGCGGAUACGACCAUCCUCGAGGGACGUAGGGGGACCUGGAACUUCCGGUGGAGCGGUGAAAUGCGUUGAGAUCGGAAGGAACGCCCGUGGCGAAAGCGAGGUCCUGGACGUCUGCUGACGCUGAGACGCGAAAGCCAGGGGAGCGAACGGG